rnacentral:lncRNA from 1 species
GUCAGUGUAAGGUGUUAAGUAUAUUUCCGAUAAUUGACUUUAUACAGGCACUUAUUGAGUUUUUGUUAAUAUUUAUGCUUUUUGUAGAAACACUACGCACCAUCAUCAUCACUGUAAAGUUUUGUGCACAGAGAGGAAACUAAACUGCAUCGAAAUAAUUUAAAUAUCAUGCUUCUCGUGGUGCUUCUGAGGUAAAAGCUUGUGCAAAUCUUUUUAUAUACAACAUUCUCUUAUUGUCUAAUAAAAUAAUAAAGUUAUCUUACACAGUUAAAUGACAGUCAAUUGCAGAAUUAAGUUCAGAGAGCAGGAAGUUCCUGUGUGUAUUUCUUACUGAUCUGCAGUGACUUACAGUUCAGAGCACUAAGAGACUCAACAGAGAACUGAACUGAUCUGAUUGAACAUGGACAGAUGCUUUAUACUGAUUCUCAUUGUGGGAACAGGUUUGGUGACUGGAGACAACAUUGAGCCAGAUAAAGGGAUGGAAAAAACCUCUAAAGAAAGAGAAACUGUCAAGCUGAGCUGCACAUAUAGUUCAAGUAGUGAAUAUGUUCGGCUUUACUGGUACAGACAGUAUCCCAACAGAGAACCACAAUUCUUAUUAUACAGAAAUGCACGGUCAGCGAGUGGUGAACGCACAUCUGAUCGCCGGUUUCAAUCGACUACAUCACGUACAUCCACUGAAGUCACUAUUACUGAUGUACGUCUGUCAGAUUCAGCUCUCUAUCAUUGUGCUCUAAGAGUAGCAGCCCAGUGGUACAAUACAUGAGACAUGUCAUACAAAAACCUGAAGCUCUUUUCACUUUGAAAAUAUCUAGUGAAAACCACAAUCAAAACCACAAUCUAUCCAGCCCUGAAUGUAAUAAAAAAAAUGGUCACACCUGCAUGAGUCUGAAUCAGGUCUGUUAAAAAUUCCAAGAGGCAUGAAGUGAAAUGUAGUUCUAAAAACAAAUAGCAUUUGGUUUGUAUAUUUUUUUACUAUCACCGUUUCUCACCCUUAUUCAAUAUUAGCAAUAUUUGUAGUUCUUCAAAUGAAGUGUCUUCAGUAUCACUCCUGUUGAGUUCGUGGCUCUUCUGACUCUCCAACAGCAUCCAACCUAUUUGAUAUUAUCGCUCAGUCUUCUGGGUUUAUUUUCAUGGCUUUUGAGUUUCUUUUUACAUCUCAAAUCAAGUCCUUAAAAAAAAGAAGGAUACACAGAGACAAAGACUAAGAGAGCAACUGUAAACUGUAGUUGUGAUUAAUAUUUAUAAUAGAUUAAAAUAGAUUUAAUAGGUAAAUAAUUUGAUAAAAAGCUACUGAAUUCAAGUUUACAUGUGCAAAACUGUAAAUAAGUAAACAUUUAAAUAAAUAUGAAAUUCAAAAGUGUAUUGUUAAUUACAUCAAAUCCGUACAAAAGUAGCUUAUAGUUUAAGUUCUAAAGCAUUAUCAUGUGUAACACAUAGUGUAGGUAUAAUGUGCCACAAGAUGGCAGUGUUCUCAGACAUUCAGUAAGACUUGCAGCAGUGAACAACAGAAGUGAACUUAUGCAGGCAUAAUGUUGCUCAGAGAGGAGGGACUCAGUGUUCAAAGAUCUGACAUGAUCUAAUGUGUUUGACAGAGACCGUGGUUGAAAGGAUUCAAUCUGAGUCUUCUCAGAGUGAACACAAUCAAUGGAUCUUCAUUCAGUUAUUCUGUUCUGUGCCUCAACUGGUGAGUAUUUGUUUAAUUGUGC